UGUCAUUAAGGUGCAGAGAGCCUGAGCUGCUGUACCCUGUGUGUACCCUGCAGGCAAUGAGGCUAUUGCCCAAGGCUGCCUCUGCAUUUUCUCUCCUUAGUGUUCCAGGAUGCAACAAAGGCCCUGGGUUCCAGAUUGAGACAUGAUACAAUGAUGCAAGGUCCAGAAGAAGAUAACUCGAGUUGGUUGUGAAUUGAGGAUGAAUAUCAUUGAUAAAACGGAGGUCAACAACUGAGCAGCAUCUCGUGGAAAUGAUUUGGAGACAGCUGAGUGUCAGAUCCUGCGGUUCACUCAGCUUAAGACAAUAACCAGGUCUUGGAGUACACUGGCACAGUGCUGUGCCAGCCUGCAGAGAGAGACGGAUCCUCCUUACAAAGAGCCUGGCAUGGGAGGAGAGUCUGAUGUUCCAUCAGGAAAAGUAAAGAAACGAACUCAUUUUUUUACCUCUUCUACUGGUUUUUGUUUCUACGUGGAAAUCUACAUUGAGACAGAAAUGGGAGCAAAUCCUUUCACUGUAAUUAAAGACUGGGCAGACCACAGUAAGGCUGCAGCUCUGGAUUGUGCUCCAUGUUGUGCUGACAUUCGUUUACAAGAAGAUGCCGGUUGUUAAUAGGAAAACAUCAGAAAGCAGAAAGACUGGUGCUUGCUUCAGUUGUUUUUUAAGGUAAAUACUGUAAGUUCUAAGGAUGUGUCUCUUUUUUUGUGGUUAGAAAUGGCUAUUUCAAAAUCUAAAUUGUUAUUUUACCCUUUUCAAUUAGUUGAAACAACCCUUCAGUGCCUUGGAUUUUCUGUCUGUGAAGUGCUAUUUCAUGUCCUUAGAGCAGUUGGGAAGUCCAAGUGCGUUUGCAUGGGAUCCUUCUCUGGUGCUGGUUGAAAUGGGGCCCUGGAGUCCAACUUGCCUGUGCUGAUGCUGUAAGCACAGAUUUGUGAGAUGUGGUGCAGGUGUCUGGUGUAUAACUGAAGGAUCAACUGGGUGUACAGCCCUACUUUUCCUCUGUGACGAGAGGAAUCACGUUUAUCAUAGAAUCAUGUUUGUCAUAUUUUCAGCAGGAGGGUUAACCAGUCACUUUGAAACUAAUUUACUUUUGCUUAAGUCCUUUUCUGUCACAAGGAGAGAUUUACUGUAUUCUAUUACCCAGCCUAUCCCAACCUACAUGUUCCAGGAGUGGCAUAGUCUGUAUUGUUUUGGUAAGCGGUAGCUGUAGAAGGCAAUGUGUGGCUUUGGGACAUGCUUCUCAAAGAGCACGGCCACGUCGUUCUGUAAUAGCUUGGGUACUGUCAGGUGGGAAACUCACUGGGUUCAGAAUAGGAUCGAUGCUAAGAAACACUCAGAAAUGUUUUCAAUAUCAUCCAUCUGAAUGGAGACGGUAAAUUCUGCGCCUUAAAUCUUGAGCAUGUAGAAAACUACUUCUCCUAGGCAAGUGGAAAGAUGGGCCAUGUUUUUUGACUGCAUAGAUGACAGUUAGUUAGUACUAGCAGAGAAUUAUGUGGAUUUCCUGCAUUUUGUCAGGAUGAGCUGGUGAGUUUGGGGUUUGAUUACUGGCAAUUAAAGGUGGAGAGUUGUCUCUCUGACUGUGGUUGGGUGUUCAGUGCUUUUCAGUCAUCUUUUGAAAAUGCUGUCGGGAAUUGGUUUGAGAGGUUUGGAGGACCAUGCAGGUGUUCGGAGGCUGGAGCACACGAUACAGGGUGGUUGUUGGGUGAUCCUGUACGGUCUGGAGGAAAGAAUGUUUGGCCUAUCCCCACUUCUUUCUCACUUCUGGAGGAGGAAGCAAGGGAUGAAGUUGUCCUGCUUGUUGGAUCCAGUUGUCCUGUCUGGGUGCAAUUUCCAUUAUGGCAGAUUUUAAGAAUUCUGUUGGAAAGGGUGCUGGCGUACAGGGCUGGGUCUGAAGUUAGACCAAGACCGCCAGAAGUCCUCUCCAGUAUGAAUUAUUUUGGGACUAAAGGAUUAUAUGCAUUUUGUGAGCUGCACAUCACGUGCGUUGAAAUUAGACAUGUUUUAGUCACUUAACUAAGGUUAGUAAAAUCUUACAGCAGUGUUAUCACAAUUCGUAAUGAAUUCACAUUAUGUAUAAAUAUUUAUAAACAUGCAGUUUCCACAAUGUCGCAUUGAGUUUUCUGGCUAGAAACAAAAGCUUUAAGAGCUCCUUUGUUCCUACUUACCAAGGCGCUCUUGGCUCAAUAGCAAAACCUGCCCGUCGAGUGCCCAUCUGUAUUUGUUGUGUUCUCCUGAAGUGCUAAUCCUGUUUAUCCUCUUGCCAUAGGCUUGCUAUUUCUUUUUAUUUGCCAAUUACUGCUAGGCUUGAUUAUUCCCUUCAAGCACUGGCAAAACAUGCUGAAAGCAUGACACAGGCGUGGCAAAAUUUGGUUAAAUGGAUUUAUCGAGGAUGUGCCUGGGAGCCCAGGACACGGCGCUGAAGAUGCUGAUGCUGAGAUGUCUGUUCACAACCAUUACUGGAAAUAAAGGGGUGAUUUAGGUGAAUAACGUGGGAAAAUGGCUAUGUAU